UACGAAGGGGGCUAGCGUUGCUCGGAAUUACUGGGCGUAAAGCGCACGUAGGCGGCUUUCUAAGUCGGGGGUGAAAUCCUGGAGCUCAACUCCAGAACUGCCUUCGAUACUGGAAGCUCGAGUCCGGGAGAGGUGAGUGGAACUGCGAGUGUAGAGGUGAAAUUCGUAGAUAUUCGCAAGAACACCAGUGGCGAAGGCGGCUCACUGGCCCGAUACUGACGCUGAGGCACGAAAGCGUGGGGAGCA
rnacentral:rRNA from 1 species